rnacentral:misc_RNA from 1 species
GAAUUCUUUCUGUGAAGACUAUUAGGUAUUACAGAAGUAAUACCUGAUUGUUAGAAUGAUGCAGAUGUCUUAUUACAGGAGAUAUGGGAAAAUGAUAGGCAAAUAAUCUCCUUUACCUCAUCCAAGAACUGGAGUCCCAGGCGCCACAGUAUGCAAGAUUUGAAGAGAACUGACGCUUUGGAUACCCUGAAUAUGGAUUUCAGAUUCUUGAACUUGAAUUCAGAGAUGCAAACGUGGGAUACAAAUCUAUGCCCAAUUUUCUAGACCGUCAAGUUCC